rnacentral:rRNA from 1 species
UAUGUAGGUGGUUUAUGGUAUUAAAAGUUAAAGAUGAGGGCUUAACCUUCGAAAAGCUUUUAGGAUUAAUAAACUUGAGUAUAAAGGAUGAUAGUGGUAUUUUUGGUGGAGAGGUGAAAUUCGUAGAUAUUAAAAAGACCAGCAGAGGCGAAGGCGACUAUCAAUUUUAUAACUGACGUUGAGGUACAAAAGCAUGGGGAGCAAACA